AUGCAAGUCACCAGUGAAAAAUCAUUACUUCAGAGAAUUUAUAUAAAGCCAGAUAAAGGUAUAUUGCCAGCACUAAAACAGAAAAGAAGGAUUCAAAAGUUUAUACAGUCUGACAAAGGCUAUAGAGAUCCAGUAAAUCUUGGGCACAUUCUUGAAAGGAAAAAUUAAUGUCUUUAUGUAUUUUUAACAUCUUAACUUAAGAAAACAGUGAUAAUUUAAAUGUAUUCCAUGGAAGUCAGGUUUAAUGCCACUAGGACUCUCAUUCAGGAUAUUUUUCUACACUUUAAAUAAUUUAGUCAUGUCCAUAGGGUGAUGAUGAUAUAAAAACUCAUCAUCACAUAUUUCUCUAUCAAGAUGAAUGCAAUUUUCAGAGAUUUUUUUUUUGACAGAUUAGAUUUAUUCAAAAUGUUUCAAGGAAGCACCUAAAGAAAGAUUCCUAUAAGAAAAAGUCCAUCUAUGCUUUCCAGAUUUUACACACUUAUCGAGUCCAUCAACUUUGUGUUGAAACUCAGCAAAACUCAUUAAUAUCUUUUAAAUAAUUAACUCAAGUUGUAUAGUAUUUUUGUAAAUAAUGUUGUGGGCUACUCCCAAUUGAGUGUUUUUUUAAUUUAUGUAGGCCUACUUGUACUAAGGUACCUACAAAUACUUUCAAAUUGUACAGAUAAAAAAAAAAAAAAUUAAAAAUUAAAAAAAAAAAAAAAAAAAAAAAAAAAAGAAAUCAAAAUGUGUAUACUCAGAGAACCAGUAAAAAAAUCACAGUGGUCAUGAAACAUAAUUCUUUACAGAAGGAUAUACUAAUUUUUGCUUCAUACAAAUAGCAAUUAAGCCCACAAUUGACACUAUGUUGGAUUCUGCCUAUAGAUUACUAUUUCACUAUCUGCUUCUUACACAAGCUAAGGAAUGCAGUGUUUGGGUUCUCUGUUGACUGAAGAUGCCAGUAAGAAGAAGGUCUGGUUCAGACAUGUUGUACAAGAGGUACUUUCUGGGGAGCUUUAUAACACUGCUUUCACAGAUGCUUUAUACAGCUGGCAGGUCAUAGCCCUGUAACUUGGCUAACUGAGAAGGCUGAAAUUCCUCUAAAGUUUAAUGAUGAAUGUGUCACUGCUGCAACAAUUUACAUGUGUGGAUCUUGGAAAGAAAAUUCUUUCACCUCUGUGUCAGGUAUAAA
rnacentral:lncRNA from 1 species